GACGAACGCUGGCGGCGUGCUUAACACAUGCAAGUCGAACGGAAAGGCCCUUCGGGGUGCUCGAGUGGCGAACGGGUGAGUAACACGUGGGUGAUCUGCCCUGCACUUUGGGAUAAGCCUGGGAAACUGGGUCUAAUACCGAAUAGGACCAUGGCCUUCAUGGGUUGUGGUGGAAAGCUUUUGCGGUGUGGGAUGGGCCCGCGGCCUAUCAGCUUGUUGGUGGGGUAAUGGCCUACCAAGGCGACGACGGGUAGCCGGCCUGAGAGGGUGACCGGCCACGCUGGGACUGAGAUACGGCCCAGACUCCUACGGGAGGCAGCAGUGGGGAAUAUUGCACAAUGGGCGCAAGCCUGAUGCAGCGACGCCGCGUGAGGGAUGACGGCCUUCGGGUUGUAAACCUCUUUCAGUAGGGACGAAGCGCAAGUGACGGUACCUAUAGAAGAAGGACCGGCCAACUACGUGCCAGCCGCCGCAGUAAUAC
rnacentral:rRNA from 1 species